GAAAGCCUCUUCUCUCUAAAAAGAACAUGACAGCACAGCUUAGGUUUGCAAAGUUGCAUCUGAACAAACAACAAUGUCCUUUGUACAGACAAGACCAAAUUACAGAUGUUUGGGCAUAGCGCAAACCGUGAGGUUUGGCUUAUUUUGCAGCCAAAGAACCUGGGAUCCUUGAAGUCAUUGAGUCGACCAUGAACUCCUCUGUAUACCAAAGUAUUCUAGAGUCAAAUGUGAGGCCAUCUCUCCGGGCAGCUCAAGUGUUGCUGAAAUUGGGUCCUGCAACAGAACAAUGAUCCAAAG